rnacentral:lncRNA from 1 species
GCUCACUUGCUCUUUACGGAAAUGCUAGCCCACCUACAAAUAAUCAAUUUAUGAUGAAGAACAAUUUCUUAGACUUCACUUGAGUCAAGAAUUUGGGAAAAAUAGCUGUUAAACACAUGCAAGGGCANAACUUUGCAUGAUCACAACUAACAGAAACGCGGAGAGAUUUAGGGGAAACUUACCAGAUGGAGAACAACCAAAUGAUCGGUUGAAAUGAAGCCCACAACUCUAGAAUCUCCUAAGUAUUCACUGAUUGUGGAAUAAAUGGGUCAGUUGAGGAAGAAAUCUAGAGAGAAGAAUGGUUNGGGANAGGGCAAGGUUACAAAGAUGUUUUGGAGGAGGAUGCACGUUUCUGAAGUGUCUUAAUAAGCUGUUGUGAGUUUUUAUUUUUCUAAAACUUAAAUUUUAUUAUUUUAAUAUAAUUAAAAAUUUUACUUUUAAUUUAAGGGUUAUUACAUAAUCUAUCAUAUAUAUUCAUCUUAAAAAAAAAUGUGUAUAAUGUUAUUGUAAAUAAGGUGUAAUGUUGUUUUGUAUUAGAAAAUACUUAUAAAUUUUUAACAAUAAUACAAAUAUAGCUAAGAUAAAAAAUAGAAUUAAUUAAUAAUGUUUCUUGG